ACGCUGGCGGCGUGCCUAAUACAUGCAAGUCGAACGAACUCUGGUAUUGAUUGGUGCUUGCAUCAUGAUUUACAUUUGAGUGAGUGGCGAACUGGUGAGUAACACGUGGGAAACCUGCCCAGAAGCGGGGGAUAACACCUGGAAACAGAUGCUAAUACCGCAUAACAACUUGGACCGCAUGGUCCGAGUUUGAAAGAUGGCUUCGGCUAUCACUUUUGGAUGGUCCCGCGGCGUAUUAGCUAGAUGGUGGGGUAACGGCUCACCAUGGCAAUGAUACGUAGCCGACCUGAGAGGGUAAUCGGCCACAUUGGGACUGAGACACGGCCCAAACUCCUACGGGAGGCAGCAGUAGGGAAUCUUCCACAAUGGACGAAAGUCUGAUGGAGCAACGCCGCGUGAGUGAAGAAGGGUUUCGGCUCGUAAAACUCUGUUGUUGAAGAAGAACAUAUCUGAGAGUAACUGUUCAGGUAUUGACGGUAUUUAACCAGAAAGCCACGGCUAACUACGUGCCAGCAGCCGCGGUAAUACGUAGGUGGCAAGCGUUGUCCGGAUUUAUUGGGCGUAAAGCGAGCGCAGGCGGUUUUUUAAGUCUGAUGUGAAAGCCUUCGGCUCAACCGAAGAAGUGCAUCGGAAACUGGGAAACUUGAGUGCAGAAGAGGACAGUGGAACUCCAUGUGUAGCGGUGAAAUGCGUAGAUAUAUGGAAGAACACCAGUGGCGAAGGCGGCUGUCUGGUCUGUAACUGACGCUGAGGCUCGAAAGUAUGGGUAGCAAACAGGAUUAGAUACCCUGGUAGUCCAUACCGUAAACGAUGAAUGCUAAGUGUUGGAGGGUUUCCGCCCUUCAGUGCUGCAGCUAACGCAUUAAGCAUUCCGCCUGGGGAGUACGGCCGCAAGGCUGAAACUCAAAGGAAUUGACGGGGGCCCGCACAAGCGGUGGAGCAUGUGGUUUAAUUCGAAGCUACGCGAAGAACCUUACCAGGUCUUGACAUACUAUGCAAAUCUAAGAGAUUAGACGUUCCCUUCGGGGACAUGGAUACAGGUGGUGCAUGGUUGUCGUCAGCUCGUGUCGUGAGAUGUUGGGUUAAGUCCCGCAACGAGCGCAACCCUUAUUAUCAGUUGCCAGCAUUAAGUUGGGCACUCUGGUGAGACUGCCGGUGACAAACCGGAGGAAGGUGGGGAUGACGUCAAAUCAUCAUGCCCCUUAUGACCUGGGCUACACACGUGCUACAAUGGAUGGUACAACGAGUUGCGAACUCGCGAGAGUAAGCUAAUCUCUUAAAGCCAUUCUCAGUUCGGAUUGUAGGCUGCAACUCGCCUACAUGAAGUCGGAAUCGCUAGUAAUCGCGGAUCAGCAUGCCGCGGUGAAUACGUUCCCGGGCCUUGUACACACCGCCCGUCACACCAUGAGAGUUUGUAACACCCAAAGUCGGUGGGGUAACCUUUUAGGAACCAGCCGCCUAAGGUGGGACAGAUGAUUAGG
rnacentral:rRNA from 2 species